AACGAACGCUGGCGGCGUGGAUAAGACAUGCAAGUCGAACGGGACCAGGUUUGUAGCAAUACCAACUUGGUUCAGUGGCGCACGGGUGCGUAACACGUGAGCAAUCUGCCGGGAAGUGGGGGAUAGCUCGCCGAAAGGCGAAUUAAUACCGCAUGUGGCCAUCCUUCGAGCGGAGGAAAAGCCAAAGCAGCAAUGCGCUUCCUGAUGAGCUCGCGGCCUAUCAGCUCGAUGGCGGGGUAAUGGCCCACCAUGGCUUUGACGGGUAGCUGGUCUGAGAGGACGACCAUCCACACUGGAACUGAGAUACGGUCCAGACACCUACGGGUGGCAGCAGUCGAGAAUUUUUCACAAUGGGGGCAACCCUGAUGGAGCGACGCCGCGUGGAGGAUGAAGGCCUUCGGGUUGUAAACUCCUGUCAUGCGGGAACAAGCAAGUGAUAGUACCGCAAGAGGAAGAGACGGCUAACUCUGUGCCAGCAGCCGCGGUAAUACAGAGGUCUCAAGCGUUGUUCGGAUUCAUUGGGCGUAAAGGGUGCGUAGGUGGUGACGCAAGUCUGGUGUGAAAUCUCGGAGCUCAACUCCGAAAUUGCACCGGAUACUGCGUGACUCGAGGACUGUAGAGGAGAUCGGAAUUCACGGUGUAGCAGUGAAAUGCGUAGAUAUCGUGAGGAAGACCAGUUGCGAAGGCGGAUCUCUGGGCAGUUCCUGACACUGAGGCACGAAGGCCAGGGGAGCAAACGGGAUUAGAUACCCCGGUAGUCCUGGCAGUAAACGGUGCACGUUUGGUGUGGGCGGGUUCAGACCCCGUCCGUGCCGGAGCUAACGCGUUAAACGUGCCGCCUGGGAAGUACGGUCGCAAGAUUAAAACUCAAAGAAAUUGACGGGGGCCCGCACAAGCGGUGGAGUAUGUGGCUUAAUUCGAUGCAACGCGAAGAACCUUACCUGGCCUUGACAUGCAUUGUGUCCCCGGUGAAAGCCGGGUAUCCUGCAGCAAUGUAGGAGCCUUGCACAGGUGCUGCAUGGCUGUCGUCAGCUC
rnacentral:rRNA from 1 species